UGCAGGGGCAGGGCUGUCAUGGAGAAC
rnacentral:piRNA from 1 species